rnacentral:rRNA from 1 species
UACGGGGGGAGCAAGCGUUGUUCGGAUUUACUGGGCGUAAAGGGCGCGUAGGCGGUCGUGACAAGUCACUUGUGAAAUCUCCGGGCUUAACUCGGAACGGUCAAGUGAUACUGUCGGACUAGAGUACAGAAGGGGCAACUGGAAUUCUCGGUGUAGCGGUGAAAUGCGUAGAUAUCGAGAGGAACACCUGCGGUGUAGACGGCUUACUGGACCAUAACUGACGCUGAGGCACGAAAGCGUGGGUAGCAAACAGG